UACGUAGGGUGCAAGCGUUGUCCGGAAUUAUUGGGCGUAAAGAGCUCGUAGGCGGUCUGUCGCGUCGGCUGUGAAAACCCUGAGCUCAACUCCGGGCCUGCAGUCGAUACGGGCAAACUGGAGUGUUGCAGGGGAGACUGGAAUUCCUGGUGUAGCGGUGAAAUGCGCAGAUAUCAGGAGGAACACCGGUGGCGAAGGCGGGUCUCUGGGCAACAACUGACGCUGAGGAGCGAAAGCGUGGGGAGCGAACAGG
rnacentral:rRNA from 1 species